rnacentral:rRNA from 1 species
AUGAAAUUCUUCUUUUUUCGGAAAAAAGAGGGAGGCAAUGCGAGACCUAAUGCAAUGACGAGAGAAUUUCGUAAUUGUUUGGGAGAGUGCGGUUUGGAAGACAUGGGAUGUAUUGGAGACCCUUUCACUUGGAGGAGGGGUGAUAUUAGGGAGAGGCUUGACCGUGCGGUUUGUAAUGUGGAUUGGGCGAACAAAUUUCCUCGGUCCCCGGUUAUAAGAGAAGAACAUGUACAUUCUGAUCAUCGCCCUCUCAUCCUGGACACGGAAUAUUUUGAUGGUAAUAUGUUUAACCACCCAAGGAGCCGACUGAAACAGUUUGAAGCUCGAUGGCUCAAAGAAGAGACAGUUGAAGAAAUUGUACGUACAACAUGGGAAAAAGCAAAGACGCGAGGUAUUGGGCCAUCUCUUGCUGAGCGUACACGGGCGGUGAAUGCGAUUUGCAUACUUGGGACCGUGAUAUUCUCAGAGGACCGAAAAAAAGAAUUAAUAAACUAA